GAUCUAUUUCCGUCCUAACGUUGGUUACGGUGACUUAUAUCAGGGAUCCCCACAGAGUUCAUAAUACAACACGAACCCUGACUUCUUUUACCACUUGCUCUAUGGGAUAUUGCAGGGUUUGGAGAUCGCAUUCAGAGGUUUUUGUGUUCAACGCCAGAAUGUCCGAGUGUCCCAUGAACGCUUCACUCAAACGGUUUCGCACGAGCCGGAUUUUGCUUCAGCCGCUGUCUACUGGAUUUCAGUGUGAGUGAUUAAAGAUGGAGUCCCCGAGAUAUGAUGAAGUCUGACAUGUCCCAGAAGACCCUGGUUCGAGUAAAGCUCAGGGCUGACUGGAUGAUGAUCAAGAGCUUCUUAAACAGAGAUGGAUGAAAUAGUAUGAGCAAGGAAUAUCAUCUCAAUUACCUGUUCUCUCUGGGGAAAUGCUGAUAGCAGGCCAUAUGUUUAUAUGUCUUUCAACAUAAACCAAAACACGUCAUCAACAUGCAGAGAUCCUCGGGGCCCCGUGAAGGAGGAGGAUGAGAACAGUGGCAUCCUACACGUGUUCACACAAGUCAAUGAUGUCUUCCAGAUCAGGAAAAAAAUCUCUGUGAGCCAUCUCAAGAGAAGCUCAAAAUUGAAAAAAGGUAAACAUGCUACUAUUUAAAUUUUUGGAGGGCAACAAGGCCUCUACCUCUCUGGGUGGCUCACCUGUGACUUCAAUGCCAGUGGUUCUGAAGAACAUUGUCCUUCUGUCCACAUUUAUCUGGUACAGGGAUUCAUACCCCCUGAGGCUGUGAAAUAAUGUAACGUUAGCAAUAGAAGUUUAUUGUGAAAGCCAACUGAGAAAAACUUGUAGUUUAGCCUGCUAACAUAGGCUGCUGCUUAUGCUAAAUUUUGACCAACAUUUAGUUGUCACCUAGUUCACUUAAAGUAGAGGUAUAUUACUGACACAGUUUUUCUAAGAAUGAAGGAGUGUUGGCUGAAUUGGCCCAUUUCACCAAAGAAAGCCCAGUGUUUAUAAAUCAAGAUAAAGCUAGCCAUCGUUAGCUAAAUUACAUACCAGUCGAUUUAAAUAAUUAAGUCUGAAAAUGAAGAAGACGAAGGUAUCACAGCAACGUCCCUGACCUUAAGGCAGAGACUCUAAUCUUUUCCAGAUCAAGGUGCCAGUCUGAAUUGCUUAAAAAUCAAAAAUACAUGUUGGACCAAAUUAUGCUUGUGUGCCGAACAGCAGAUAUGAUCAUCAUUCAGGAGCACCAGAAAGUCGUCCAGACCCAGAUUCACCUUGCCUCACCUGUGACUCCUCGGGGGAGUGCAAAGCUCUGCAGGGCCUCAUGACGGUGGAGGUGGAGGCAAGUUUUUUUUUUUCAUGGAUUCUAGUAUUAAGAUGGUUAAGUGACAGUGAGGUUCAAUAGCACUGUGGCCUUUGCGCUUUAUUUACUCCUGUAACAGACUGGUGUAUUGAUACUAAUAGCCAAGGGGUAUGUGUUGACAUGUGUUGGCAUUUUGUAAACAAUUUUUACACCUGUUGUCUGUGGACCAAACAUAUAAAAAGUAAAGAUAUUAAGGUAUAAAAAAAAAUAUGAUAGGCAAAAAUAACCCAAUAACCCUAAUUUCAUGUAGUGUAUUUUAUUCCUCUCCAUGUUGUGGGAUCCUAAGUUAAUAAUGUUCACUAAUGUUCCAUUAAAUUCCUUUCACGUUACUUUAAGAUCCUGUCAUUUUAACGUCAAAUUGUUCAUUGGUUGGUAUGAAAUGGAAAGUGUAUUUAAUUCAUUUGAAUAAUCAACCCAUCACACAAUCAUAGAAAAUGCCCUGAAAUACACUUCAAGGCUCAAAUUAAUUACCUGGACUUCAUAGGAAACCUUUGUCUCAAGAUGUAUUUCUUUUUUUCUCUCUUUUGUUUAUACUUUAUUUCUUUAUGAGUCAACAUUGACUGAGGUGCCUUCACAAAAAUCUUUGCUCUCUUACAUGCAUUUUACAGUGGUAUUCAUACCAUAUUUCCAUAAAAUCCUGUAAGGUUCCUUCUGGUUGAUCAAAGUGGGAUGUGGGAUUGUGGGAUUCUAACUUAAUACUUACUUACUACCAUUUAAUUCCCUUCAGGUCACUUGAGUUAUGUUCAUAUCAUUUUAAUGUCAUCAAAGUGAAUUCAAUUCAGUUCAUCAACUUUUUAAUCCUACUAAGAUAUUCAUAGGCAAACUAUUUGAUCACGUAUUCACAUUGUAUUAUGUAUAUAAAUUAGUUUCAACAUCUGAACAAGUAUCCACUUUUGAUUCAUGAUUUAUUAUCAAAUAGUCUGUGUAGUAAUUAUUGUGCAAUGAACUCGUAAUGCUCACAUGAAUAUAUUUGAAAUUGUUUUGUAAAUGUUUUUGAAAUAUGUUUUGAUUUCUAUUUGUGUAUCUCAUCAGGCUUGUUUGUAUAUUAUGCUGUGGAUUUGACUUCUACUGCUUUAUUACUGCAGAUACGUCAAUUAAAUCUUGAAAUGGUCUAAUUACUGUGUGAAUUACAAAUGACCCUAAUGCUGACAAAAUGAUAAUCAGAUUUAAGACAAUUAAAAUGUAUUUGUAAUGAAG